rnacentral:tRNA from 1 species
GGGCCUGUAGCUCAGUCGGUUAGAGCAGAGGACUCAUAAUCCUUUGGUCCAGGGUUCGAGCCCCUGCGGGCCUACCA